rnacentral:rRNA from 1 species
GACGGACGGUGCAAGCGUUGCUCGGAAUCACUGGGCGUAAAGGGUGCGUAGGCGGCUCGGUAAGUCUGCUGUGAAAGUCCAGGGCUCAACCCUGGAAUGCCGGUGGAUACUGUCGAGCUCGAGUCCGGAAGAGGCGAGUGGAAUUCCUGGUGUAGCGGUGAAAUGCGCAGAUAUCAGGAGGAACACCGGUGGCGAAGGCGGAUCUCUGGGCCUGUUCUGACGCUGAGGCGCGAAAGCUAGGGGAGCGAACAGG